GACAGAGGUGGCGAGCGUUGUUCGGAAUCACUGGGCUUAAAGGGCGCGUAGGUGGUAGUGCAAGUCUGGGGUGGAAUCCUAUGGCUUAACUAUAGAAUUGCCUUGGAAACUGCAUUACUUGAGUCAGUGAGGGGAGGGUAGAAUUCCUGGUGUAGCGGUGAAAUGCGUAGAUAUCAGGAGGAAGGCCGGUGGCGAAGGCGGCCCUCUGGCGCUGAACUGACACUGAGGCGCGAAAGCGUGGGGAG
rnacentral:rRNA from 1 species